rnacentral:rRNA from 1 species
GUGCCAGCAGCCGCGGUAAUACGUAGGCAGCAAGCGUUGUUCGGAGUUACUGGGCGUAAAGGGUGUGUAGGCGGUUGGAUAAGAGUGGUGUGAAAUCUCCCGGCUUAACUGGGAGGGUGCGCUACAGACUGUCUGACUAGAGUGUGGGAUGGGAGAGUGGAAUUCCUGGUGUAGCGGUGAAAUGCGUAGAUAUCAGGAGGAACACCGGUGGUGUAGACGGCUCUCUGGACCAUAACUGACGCUGAGACACGAAAGCGUGGGUAGCAAACAGGAUUAGAAACCCCUGUAGUCC